rnacentral:rRNA from 1 species
UACAGAGGUUGCAAGCGUUGUUCGGAGUUACUGGGCGUAAAGCGCACGUAGGCGGAUUGUUAAGUCGGGGGUGAAAUCCUGGAGCUCAACUCCAGAACUGCCUUCGAUACUGGCGAUCUCGAGUUCGGGAGAGGUGAGUGGAACUGCGAGUGUAGAGGUGAAAUUCGUAGAUAUUCGCAAGAACACCAGUGGCGAAGGCGGACUCACUGGCCCGAGUACUGACGCUGAGGUGCGAAA